GAAGCACUAGUACAACAAACUACACCGCCUUGUCAAGGCGAAGAUGCAGGUUAAACCCCUGCGUGCCUCA